GGGGAUGUAGCUCAGUGGUAGAGUACAUGCGUUGCAUGUAUGAGGGCUUGGGUUUACUCCCCUGCAUCUCCA
rfam:Alligator mississippiensis ScZkoYb_6261, whole genome shotgun sequence.